UCUUUUUUUAUAGCUUCCGUACAAUCUUUAUCCCACCAAGGUGGACUAGGAAUAUGAGAAGUUUCAUUUUUCACUGGGAAGAUUUCAUUAGCACUUUCAAUCAAGACAUCCGUGAAAACAGGAGCAUCAAUAAGUGCAUCAUUAGACAAUAAUUGUAGCAAUUUUGUAUCUACUUUAUUACUAAAUUGCUCCCAUGUUUCUGAUGUAACAUUAUUAAGAUUAUAUCUAGGGAGCAGUUUUAUGUUCUGUUUUGGUAUAUUUACAUUAUUAAAAGCACAAGAAGUGAUUACAGGAAAAUGAUCACUUCCAUAGGUUGAACUUAA